GGGCCCUAGGUGAGAGGUAGAACACCUGCUUUGCAUGCAGAAGGUCCCAGGUUCAAUCCCUGGCAUCUCCU